rnacentral:lncRNA from 1 species
GAACAAUAAGGAUUUUUGAAGAUCUCUCAUUAAGAAUUGCGGUAUCUAAGUUUGUCUAUGUGGGGUCAAGGUUGGAUUUCUUUAUGUCACCAAAAGAUCUCUAUGAAAGACAGCCAUCAGUUCUAGAACUACCUCUUCUCUUUAUCUUUGGCAAUAUCAUCAAAAAAGAGAGACGGUGAUCGAGUGGUCGCACUUCUCAUGGAGUCAUGGUCGGCAGCCGACAGCUGGUAGCAUGCUUGUCUAUGACAUUAGAUUGCUUGAAUGCAUAAGCAAUGUCUAGCAUGCCAAUAAAAAG